AGAGUUUGAUCAUGGCUCAGAACGAACGCUGGCGGCAGGCUUAAAACAUGCAAGUCGAACGAGCACUUCGGUGCUAGUGGCAAACGGCUGAGUAACGCGUGGGUGACCUGCCUGGAAGUGGGGAAUAACUGCCCGAAAGGGUGGCUAAUACCGCAUGUGAUGACCGGACCGAUCCGGUCAUGAAAGUCUUCGGAUGCUUCGAGAGGGGCCCGCGUUCGAUUAGCUAGUUGGUGGGGUAAUGGCCUACCAAGGCGACGAUCGAUAGCUGGUCUAAGAGGAUGAUCAGCCAGACUGGGACUGCGACACGGCCCAGACUCCUACGGGAGGCAGCAGUUAGGAAUUUUGGGCAAUGGGCGAAAGCCUGACCCAGCAACGCCGCGUGGGUGAUGAAGGCCUUCGGGUCGUAAAGCCCUUUUUCAGGGGAAGAUGAUGACGGUACCCUGAGAAUAAGCCCCGGCUAACUACGUGCCAGCAGCCGCGGUAAUACGUAGGGGGCAAGCGUUGUCCGGAUUUAUUGGGCGUAAAGCGCGCGUAGGCGGCGAAGUAUGUCGUGCGUGAAAUCUCCCGGCUUAACUGGGAGGGGCCGUGCGAAACUGCUUGGCUUGAGGUCGGAAGGGGGAAAGUGGAAUUCCGGGUGUAGUGGUGGAAUACGUAGAUAUCCGGAGGAACACCAGCGGCGAAGGCGGCUUUCUGGUCCGAUACUGACGCUGAGGUGCGAAAGCGUGGGGAGCGAUCCGGAUUAGAUACCCCGGUAGUCC
rnacentral:rRNA from 1 species